rnacentral:lncRNA from 1 species
UUAACAAGAAUCAGAGAUUUCAAGUAAAGGGGUAUGAGUGCACCUUAGAGCGGCAAAUUUUUUUCGAGAAUCUGUUUACUGACAAAUCUCCAAUCUAAUGUUCAUCGGACCUAGGCAGAAAAUUGGCAACAAUACAAAUUAACAACAAAUCCAAAACAGCAAGCUGGAACCUCAAAACUUGACCACGACGAACCUCGAACCGGGAACCAAAAUCAACAAUCUUCUGAACCUCAAGCAAAUAUCGUGGAUUUUAAUACCAAAAUCAAGAUCAAAAUCAACAAUGAAGAAAUAGAAGCUCUUAUAUAUAUAUUUUUUGUAAUUUCAAGUAAACCAUAAUCUAAGUUUGCAUCUACAAAGUAUUUUUUGUUUUUUUUUCCCCCGCUUGCUGCUGCCUUUUCACACCAGUGCCGCUGGUCUCCGGCGAUCUAUGGGGCUGCUCGUGGUGAAGGGAGGUGAUAGAGAGUGGUUGUUCAUGGUUGUAUGAAGAAUAAAAAGGAAUAGAUAAGGGGGAGCAAUGGGUGUUUGUUCGGGCGUUGGGUGGCAGAUGGUUGGAGCUGGAGAGGUUGGUCGUGGGUUGCUGAGAGGUGAAGGAUGAAGUCUCUCCUAGGGUUCUGCUAGGGUGUCAUGGGUGUAAGGUUAUUGAGAGGGAGAUCGAGAUAGUAGCGGCUGGUUGCUGGUUGAGUAGCUGGCGAUGAGGGUGAUUGAAGAGACGAGAAAGAUGCAGUGGCGAUGGGGAUCUUGCCGUAGAUGGUAACGACGGCAGUGAGGAUAUGGGGUGGCGGAGGCGGCUCCUCUAGUCUCUAGGGUAUUAGGUUGUCUCCUACAUUGAAGAAGAUGAAGGUCAUUGUCUUAGGUUUUUUGCUAGGUUUCUUUUUGUUCUUCCAAGGUUCAAGAAGAAGAAGAUGUCCUCCAGGGUUUUAGUCAUUUAUUGAAGAAGAAGAAGAUGGGUUAGGAAGAAAGG